UGGGGAAUAUUGCACAAUGGGCGAAAGCCUGAUGCAGCAACGCCGCGUGAGUGAUGAAGGCCUUCGGGUUGUAAAGCUCUGUCUUCUGGGACGAUAAUGACGGUACCAGAGGAGGAAGCCCCGGCUAACUUCGUGCCAGCAGCCGCGGUAAUACGAAGGGGGCUAGCGUUGCUCGGAAUCACUGGGCGUAAAGGGUGCGUAGGCGGGUUUCUAAGUCAGAGGUGAAAGCCUGGAGCUCAACUCCAGAACUGCCUUUGAUACUGGAAGUCUUGAGUAUGGGAGAGGUGAGUGGAACUGCGAGUGUAGAGGUGAAAUUCGUAGAUAUUCGCAAGAACACCAGUGGCGAAGGCGGCUCACUGGCCCAUAACUGACGCUGAGGCACGAAAGCGUGGGGAGCAAACA
rnacentral:rRNA from 1 species